UGGGGAAUAUUGCACAAUGGGGGAAACCCUGAUGCAGCCAUGCCGCGUGUGUGAAGAAGGCCUUCGGGUUGUAAAGCACUUUCAGCGAGGAGGAAAGGUUGAUGCCUAAUACGCAUCAGCUGUGACGUUACUCGCAGAAGAAGCACCGGCUAACUCCGUGCCAGCAGCCGCGGUAAUACGGAGGGUGCAAGCGUUAAUCGGAAUUACUGGGCGUAAAGCGUGCGCAGGCGGUUUGUUAAGCGAGAUGUGAAAGCCCUGGGCUCAACCUAGGAAUAGCAUUUCGAACUGGCGAACUAGAGUCUUGUAGAGGGGGGUAGAAUUCCAGGUGUAGCGGUGAAAUGCGUAGAGAUCUGGAGGAAUACCGGUGGCGAAGGCGGCCCCCUGGACAAAGACUGACGCUCAGGUGCGAAAGCGUGGGGAGCAAACA
rnacentral:rRNA from 1 species